rnacentral:rRNA from 1 species
CCUACGGGAGGUUGCAGUGGGGAAUAUUGGACAAUGGGGGCAACCCUGAUCCAGCCAUGCCGCGUGUGUGAAGAAGGCCCUCGGGUUGUAAAGCACUUUCAGUGAGGAAGAACGCCUGGUGGUUAAUACCCAUCAGGAAAGACAUCACUCACAGAAGAAGCACCGGCUAACUCCGUGCCAGCAGCCGCGGUAAUACGGAGGGUGCGAGCGUUAAUCGGAAUUACUGGGCGUAAAGCGCGCGUAGGUGGCUUGAUAAGCCGGUUGUGAAAGCCCCGGGCUCAACCUGGGAACGGCAUCCGGAACUGUCAAGCUAGAGUGCAGGAGAGGAAGGUAGAAUUCCCGGUGUAGCGGUGAAAUGCGUAGAGAUCGGGAGGAAUACCAGUGGCGAAGGCGGCCUUCGGGACGGACACUGACACUGAGGUGCGAAAGCGUGGGUAGCAAACAGGAUUAGAUACCCCAGGAGUC